AUGGAGCUGGCCAGGCCCUGGGGAGGAGUCGGCAAGGAGCUCUCCAAGGGUUUAGGAUACAAAGGUGGCUCUGCCAGUCCCUUUCAGGAAACACAGGUGCUGAAAGGCAUCGAGAUGCUCCAUGGAGUGCAAGGGGAUGAGCAGUGGGAGACUCCAGUGCUUUCCUUUGUCUUUUUUCUUUUUUCUUUUUUCUUUUUUCUUUUUUCUUUUUUCUUUUUUCUUUUUUCUUUUUUCUUUUUUCUUUUUUCUUCUUUCUUCUUUCUUCUUUCUUCUUUCUUCUUUCUUCUUUCUUCUUUCUUCUUUCUCCUUUCCUUUCCUUUCCUUUCCUUUCCUUUCCUUUCCUUUCCUUUCCUUUCCUUUCCUUUCCUUUCCUUUCCUUUCCUUUCCUUUCCUUUCCUUUCCUUUCCUUUCCUUUCCUUUCCUUUCCUUUCCUUUCCUUUCCUUUCCUUUCCUUUCCUUUCCUUUCCUUUCCUUUCCUUUCCUUUCCUUUCCUUUUUUCUUUUCCCUGUUCUUUUCUUUUUUCUUCUUUCCCUUUCCUUCCUGUUUCCUUUCUUCCUUUUCUUUUUCAUUCCUCCUUUUCUCCUUCUCCUCCUUUCCUGCUUUUCCUUCUUUUCUCCUUUUCUGUUCCCCUUUCCCCCUUUCUCCUUUUCCUGUUUUCCUUUCCUUUUCAACACCCCAAUCCCGUUCCUGGCUCACUUGGGGAAGUGGGAAGCUGCCCUCAGGCCCCACAAGUUGCCCAAAUUCCCCAGGUUCUGGCUCUUUUUCUACGUGCUGGCUCCUAAGAGAAAAAAAAACCCAAACCACAAGGAAUUUUCCUUUAAAGCUGCUGGAAUUUCUCACCCUCCGGCAUUGCUGCAGACCAUGGGCACCCGAGCUCAACUCCCUGCGCCUUCAAAAAGAGGGAAAAAAAGGCAAAAAGAUGGAAAACACCAAGAAAAAGAGGAAUAUCAGCCCUUGGGGGCCAGUGGCUCAGGUGGCUUUUGCCAAGCUCCAUCCUUCACCUGGGGAUUCCCAGUGGAACCCUCGGGGCAGGUGAUUCCCCGCUUUGGGAAGACCCUUCCAGAGGUACAAAAUAUUGAUUUUUGGUUGGUUUUGGACAUUCUGAAGGUUUGGCCUCAGCACAAAUGA
rnacentral:lncRNA from 1 species